GUUGCUGCUUACGCAGAGGAAAGUCCGGACUUCUAAGGGGAGGACGCCAGGUAAUGCCUGGGAGGCGAGAGCCUAUGGAAAGUGCCACAGAAAAUAUACCGCUAAGAUAGCAAGGGUGAAAAGGUGUGGUAAGAGCACACCGCAUAAUUAGCAAUAGUUAUGGCAAGGUAAACCCCGUCUGAAGCAAGGUCAAAUAGAAGGAUUAUGAUAUGCCCCUUUAUCGUCCUUGGGUAGACCGCAUGAGCCAGAUAGUGAUAUCUGGCCUAGAUUAAUAACUAUACAAGACAGAAUCCGGCUUAUAGGUUAACUCCCUAA
rnacentral:RNase_P_RNA from 1 species